AUUCAACGCUGGCGGCAGGCCUAACACAUGCAAGUCGAGCGGGGUGAUGGUGCUUGCACUAUCACUUAGCGGCGGACGGGUGAGUACUGCUUAGGAAUCUGCCUAGUAGUGGGGGACAACCUCUCGAAAGGGAUGCUAAUACCGCAUACGGCCUACGGGAGAAAGCAGGGGAUCACUUGUGACCUUCACCGAAUAGAUGAGCCCAAGGCGGAUUAGCUAGUUGGUGGGGUAAAGGCCUACCAAGGCGACGAUCUGUAGCGGGUCUGAGAGGAUGAUCCGCCACGCUGGGACUGAGAGACGGCCCAGACUCCUACGGGAGGGAGCAGUGGGGAAUAUUGGACAAUGGGGGGAACCCUGAUCCAGCCAUGCCGCGUGUGUGAAGAAGGCCUUAUGGUUGUAAAGCACUUUGAGCGAGGAGGAGGCUCUUUUGGUUAAUACCCAAGAUGAGUGGACGUUACUCGCAGAAUAAGCACCGGCUAACUCUGUGCCAGCCGCCGCGGUAA
rnacentral:rRNA from 1 species